GCGGGAAUAGCUCAGUUGGCUAGAGCACAAGCCUUCCAAGCUUGGGGUCGCGGGUUCGAGUCCCGUUUCCCGCUCCA
rnacentral:tRNA from 1 species